CCAAAACAAACCAGAAGUGCUUAAAAUGAGGACGGGUAGCUCCGUGUACCAAUCAGAAUUUAAAACUGUAUCAAUUCCUGCUAUAGAAAGAGGCUUCUCCCCAGGACCAGGAUUCCACGAAGGCAGCCCUUUUCUAGAUGGAGAAAAUAGAACCUGAAGGCAGCCGUUUCCCUAAACUGCUCUCGCUCAUGUGAUCCUGUGCACUUUAUUCUUCCCUACCAGCCUCAGAAGCCACGUGCUGAAGACAGUGAAGUUCUGUCUGGGAAGAAGCAUCGAUCCCUAAAUGACUGCAUGGAGCAGAGCAGAGAGGCUUGGCGCCCAAAUCAAUCAGAUAUCAGAACCCAGACAAGGUGUUCCCAGGUGGCGCUUGUGCCUGGGACCCACAUAAGCUGUGUUUUCUUGCCCAGCUGGAUGGUGUCCCGGUAUCUGUCAUAGAAGCUUCCCUCCUUGGGCACAACCUUGUCAUCACUACAGAUGUCUGCUCACUAAGUUGGUUCGAAGCUGAGGAGGAAAAAAAUUAGGUGCUAGGAUGCUGGAGAGAUCCUCAGAAACCCCUCUACAUGAAUCAUUUAAGUAGAUGAAGAGCUAGAUUGCAAUAAUCAUUGGGAGGAGAAGAAGAAUAAAACAUGAGAUUCCAUUCACAUCCCAGAAUUAAAGGUACUGUCGUGAUGCCCAUUUUACAGAUGAAGAAACUGAGGUUUCCAGAGGUCCAGUCCCUGCCUGAGCUGAUGCAGUUACGAAGGCUGAAGCCCGGACUUGAUUUGAGUUCGGCCUGCGGAGCCCCGGCUGAGCUACCUGCCUUCUAGCCCCACGGUGGAAAGGGAGAAUCCAGACAUCCUUGAGACCUACCCAAGGAGUUUCCCUGUUACUGCCCUGCCAUCCUUCUGAUGCCACCCUGUUCCGUAUCUGGCUGGAGCCAGCGUGGUUGUGUCUGGGUUUGGCUCCAUAGUAGAUGUUCUCGGUGGCCUUACUAUUCCUGUGCACGCCGGCCACUUUUGCCUGAAGCUCUCUGUGGCUGCCAAUGCCCACUUUGUUGAAAGUACUUGGAAAUUAAGACCCUCUAGGGAGUAUCUCUGAGUUGUGCCUGGUGAGAUUUCAUGAAGGAAUGGCCCAGCUCCUGCAGACCUAGGCGGGAUGUCUGAGGUGCACCUUCUACACGCUCUUUCAGUUGGAUUAAGUCCUAGGAUGCCCACAGGGGUCACUGAGAGGUUAACAAACAUUUUUUUUUUUUUUUUUUUUGAGAUGGAGUCUUGCUCUGUCACCCAGGCUGGAGUGCAGUGGCCUGAUCUCAGCUCACUGCAAGCUCCACCUCCCAGGUUCAUGCUAUUUUCCUGCCUCAGCCUCCUGAGUAGCUGGGAUUACAGGCGCCCGCCACCACGACCGGCUAAUUUUUUGUAUUUUUAGUACAGACCAGGUUUCACCGUGUUAGCCAGGAUGGUCUCGAUCUCUUGACCUUGUGAUCCACCUGCCUCGGCCUCCCAAAGUGUUGGAAUUAUAGGCUUGAGCCACCACGCACAGCUGACAUUUCCACUUUUGUCUUUUGGCCCAGAUGUUGACAUUUUCUGAGCUCCCAAAGAAUUUACAGACAUUUUUCCUAGGUCAGAGUAAAAGGGAUCCCCUUUGUUCUGGAUCUUCUGUUGCCUUGAUCAUCAGAUCAAGUUGAGGAAAUGGUCCCUUGGGAAGCUAAUCCCAGUGGCUUGGUAAACUUACACCCU
rnacentral:lncRNA from 10 species